UAAUUGCUGCCAAAUAAGUAUGCCUGCAAUGGUGCUUCUAGCAUACGAAGCCACUGGGGCCGGAAUACAAUUUUUCUGUACCCGCGCAUCUGGGACACUUGACCGUGUGAAAAGCGGACCAUGGCACAUCGGAAUCAACGGGGACGGUCUUCCGCACCGGUGCAUCCAAGAAGUGGUUCAGAGGGCGAUUCGUGAAUAAUAGUGCGCAAUGGCUUUAAAAUGAUAACGGCGGAUUGUAUUUUUCGCUGUUCACUUUACGCAAGUAACCGGUCGAUUCGCAAACCGGUGGAACACGGACGAUUCGCAAACCGGUGGAACACGGACGAUUCGCGAACCUUUCCCGUACAACAUUAUUUUAUAUGUUUGUUUCACUUAUUAAUGUAAUCAACCAAAACAUAUUUUGAUGUCGCUACGCGAUGAACAUACAUUUAUCAACAAUCAUCAACAUUUUACUUAUGACUAGGGUUCUUUAUGACAUAAUUAGUGCAGCCAAAGUUAUGACUCCAACCGAUCCUAAACUAUUCAAAGUUAGCUACGUGUGGGUCCAUUAAUUGGGAAACAAACUCCAUGUCCGUGAUGUUGCCGUCUUUUAGUUGGAAAGUAGCUAGGAGGAUAUUAGUUGUGAUGUCCAGAUACAUUUGUCUACGAGGAUUGAUCAGCUUUGCCGACAGAUGACCGCGGUGAUCCAAGGAGCAUCUGGUUCCUUUCUUGUCACAGCCAAUUAAGGAAAUAUGCCCCGCUCGUCAGGGAAUUUCAGCUUCGCUAGGCGCGUAUGAUAGUACCCUCGAUAAAUUGCUGCCGACUGAUUACGUUUGUUAUGUAGUAAUGACGAGCUCAUCCAUUUUUCAGUCAGCGGCUCUGGCGCACCAAAAAAGUGUACUUUUUAUUUUUUGCAUAUACCACAACUAAUUUGUGGUAAAAUUAAAAGGUUCGCGAAUCGCCCCUACGGGUUAGCGAAUCGCCCGGUGAGUACCAAUGGACACGGUUCCAAAGUUGCACAAGUAAUGGAUCCGGGAUGGAAUGGAUCCGGGAUACGAUCUAGUAAUGGAUCCCGGUUAGCGAAUCGCCCAUGAUACCGUUCAUAGCAUUUCCCACUACUAAAUAUGGCUAUUGGCUGA